rnacentral:rRNA from 1 species
AUACGUAGGGGGCGAGCGUUGUCCGGAAUGAUUGGGCGUAAAGGGCGCGUAGGCGGCCCGGUAAGUCUGGAGUGAAAGUCCUGUUUUUAAGAUGGGAAUUGCUUUGGAUACUGUCGGGCUUGAGUGCAGGAGAGGUAAGUGGAAUUCCCAGUGUAGCGGUGAAAUGCGUAGAUAUAUGGAGGAACACCAGUGGCGAAGGCGGCUCUCUGGGCUGUAACUGACGCUGAGGCUCGAAAGCGUGGGGAGCAAAAAGGAUUAGAUACCCUGUUAGUCCACACUGUAAACGGUGAAUGCUAGGUGUAGGUGGUAUCGAGCCCUUCUGUGCCGCAGUCAACACAAUAAGCAUUCCGCCUGGGGAGUACGGCCGCAAGGUUGAAACUCAAAUGAAUUGACGGGG